rnacentral:rRNA from 1 species
UGAGUAACCUGCCCUUAACUCUGGGAUAAGCCUGGGAAACUGGGUCUAAUACCGGAUAUGACUCCUCAUCGCAUGGUGGGGGGUGGAAAGCUUUAUUGUGGUUUUGGAUGGACUCGCGGCCUAUCAGCUUGUUGGUGAGGUAAUGGCUCACCAAGGCGACGACGGGUAGCCGGCCUGAGAGGGUGACCGGCCACACUGGGACUGAGACACGGCCCAGACCUCCGUACGGGAGGCAG